CCUACGGGAGGCAGCAGUGAGGAAUAUUGGUCAAUGGGCGUAAGCCUGAACCAGCCAAGUCGCGUGAGGGAUGAAGGUUCUAUGGAUCGUAAACCUCUUUUAUAAGGGAAUAAAGUGCGGGACGUGUCCCGUUUUGUAUGUACCUUAUGAAUAAGGAUCGGCUAACUCCGUGCCAGCAGCCGCGGUAAUACGGAGGAUCCGAGCGUUAUCCGGAUUUAUUGGGUUUAAAGGGUGCGUAGGCGGCCUUUUAAGUCAGCGGUGAAAGUCUGUGGCUCAACCAUAGAAUUGCCGUUGAAACUGGGAGGCUUGAGUAUGUUUGAGGUAGGCGGAAUGCGUGGUGUAGCGGUGAAAUGCUUAGAUAUCACGCAGAACCCCGAUUGCGAAGGCAGCCUACCAAGCCAUGACUGACGCUGAUGCACGAAAGCGUGGGGAUCAAACAGGAUUAGAUACCCUAGUAGUC
rnacentral:rRNA from 1 species